UACAGAGGGGGCAAGCGUUGUUCGGAAUUACUGGGCGUAAAGGGCGCGUAGGCGGCCUGCUAAGUCGAACGUGAAAUCCCUGGGCUCAACCCAGGAACUGCGUCCGAUACUGGUUGGCUUGAAUCCGGGAGAGGGAUGUGGAAUUCCAGGUGUAGCGGUGAAAUGCGUAGAUAUCUGGAGGAACACCGGUGGCGAAGGCGACAUCCUGGACCGGUAUUGACGCUGAGGCGCGAAAGCCAGGGAGCAACGGG
rnacentral:rRNA from 1 species